ensembl:misc_RNA Y_RNA Y RNA
GGCUGGUCUAAAGGUAGUGAGUUAUCUUCACUGAUGGUUCAGUCUGUAACAGAUCAAACUCCUUGUUCUAUUUUUUCCCCCGCUUCUCACUACUGCACUUGACUACUCUUAA